rnacentral:rRNA from 1 species
UACGUAGGGUGCAAGCGUUAAUCGGAAUUACUGGGCGUAAAGUGUGCGCAGGUGGCCGAGCAAGUCGAGUGUGAAAUCCCCGAGCUUAACUUGGGAAUUGCGCUCGAAACUACUUGGCUCGAGUGUGGCAGAGGAAGGUGGAAUUCCUGGUGUAGCGGUGAAAUGCGUAGAUAUCAGGAGGAACACCGGCGGUGUAGACGGCUUUCUGGACCGUAGCUGACGCUGAGACACGAAAGCGUGGGUAGCAAACAGG